rnacentral:rRNA from 1 species
UACGAAGGGUGCAAGCGUUAAUCGGAAUUACUGGGCGUAAAGGGCGCGUAGGCGGCUCAUGAAGGCUGUGGUGAAAGUCCGGGGCUCAACCUCGGAUCGGCCGUGGCGACUCGUGGGCUGGAGCACUGUAGAGGCGGGUGGAAUUCCGGGUGUAGCGGUGGAAUGCGUAGAGAUCCGGAAGAACACCAGUGGCGAAGGCGGCCCGCUGGGCAGUGGCUGACGCUGAAGCGCGACAGCGUGGGGAGCAAACAGG